rnacentral:lncRNA from 1 species
UAUAAAAUGGUAAGACCAAGUAUCUGUUAACGGAUUGACAAGCGUACCAAAUCGUAUCAAGUAAUAAUAAAUGGUAAGUCCAAGUAUCGUUUUCCCAAGAGACUCGAAAGGCCGUAUCGUUCGCGUGAAUUAAAAUCGUAAGACUUGAAAAUAAAAUUUAAUUAAUUGGAUGUGCGAAUAAAAUAUGAACAUGCAAAAGAGAUUGAUUCAAUUGACAAGAAGAAAACAAUGGAUGAAUGGAGUUGUUGGGGGUUUACAAUUUCAUCUUGUCCGCUCUCUCUUAUUUACUCCUCUUGAAUUAUUAGCUUGAUUAAUUAAUUGUCAUGCAACUUUCUUAGCC